rfam:Anoxybacillus sp. B7M1, complete genome.
CCGCCUUUUAAUUAAGUCCUGUGAGACUUAAAAGGGUGUUGCUGUUCGCGCAAAAAAGAAAUGAAAGUCAUCAUAUGGGCUUUCUUUCUGCCUACCUUUUUGCGCCCAAAACUGUAGCACCCUGUCGAGUAAGGCAGGGUGCUUUUUUUA